GAUGAACGCUGGCGGCGUGCCUAAUACAUGCAAGUCGAGCGAAGCGGGGACGGGUGAGUAACACGUGGAUAACCUCCUAUAAGACGGGGAUAACUUCGGGAAACCGGAGCUAACCCCGUUACUGAUCGAUGGGUCUGCGCUGCAUUAGCUAGUUGGUAAGGUAAAGGCUGACCAAGGCAACGAUGCAUAGCGGACCUGAGAGGGUGAUCGGCCACACUGGAACUGAGACACGGUCCAGACUCCUACGGGAGGCAGCAGUAGGGAAUCUUCCGCAAUGGGCGAAAGCCUGACGGAGCCACGCCGCGUGAGUGAUGAAGGUCUUCGGAUCGUAAAACUCUGUUAGUAGGGAAGCGGUACCUAAUCAGAAAGCCCCGGCUAACUACGUGCCAGCAGCCGCGGUAAUUC
rnacentral:rRNA from 1 species